GAUGGGCCUGCGGCGCAUUAGCUAGUUGGUGGGGUAACGGCUCACCAAGGCGACGAUGCGUAGCCGACCUGAGAGGGUGAUCGGCCACACUGGGACUGAGACACGGCCCAGACUCCUACGGGAGGCAGCAGUAGGGAAUCUUCCGCAAUGGGCGAAAGCCUGACGGAGCAAUGCCGCGUGAGUGAUGAAGGUUUUCGGAUCGUAAAGCUCUGUUGCCAGGGAAGAACGCUUGGGAGAGUAACUGCUCUCAAGGUGACGGUACCUGAGAAGAAAGCCCCGGCUAACUACGUGCCAGCAGCCGCGGUAAUACGUAGGGGGCAAGCGUUGUCCGGAAUUAUUGGGCGUAAAGCGCGCGCAGGCGGUCAUUUAAGUCUGGUGUUUAAUCCCGGGGCUCAACCCCGGAUCGCACUGGAAACUGGGUGACUUGAGUGCAGAAGAGGAGAGUGGAAUUCCACGUGUAGCGGUGAAAUGCGUAGAUAUGUGGAGGAACACCAGUGGCGAAGGCGACUCUCUGGGCUGUAACUGACGCUGAGGCGCGAAAGCGUGGGG
rnacentral:rRNA from 1 species